CCUACGGGAGGCAGCAGUGAGGAAUAUUGGUCAAUGGACGAGAGUCUGAACCAGCCAAGUCGCGUGAAGGAUGACUGCCCUAUGGGUUGUAACCUUCUUUUAUAAAGGAAUAAAACGAGGCACGUGUGCCUUUUUGCAUUUACUUUAUGAAUAAGGAACGGCUAACUCCGUUCCAGCAGCCGCGGUAAUACGGAGGAUCCGAGCGUUAUCCGGAUUUAUUGGGUUUAAAGGGAGCGUAGAUGGGUUGUUAAGUCAGUUGUGAAAGUUUGCGGCUCAACCGUAAAAUUGCAAUUGAUACUGGCAGUCUUGAGUACAGUUGAGGUAGGCGGAAUUCGUGGUGUAGCGGUGAAAUGCUUAGAUAUCACGAAGAACCCCGAUUGCGAAGGCAGCUUACUAAACUGUGACUGACAUUGAUGCUCGAAAGUGUGGGUAUCAAACAGGAUUAGAUACCCCAGUAGUC
rnacentral:rRNA from 1 species